rnacentral:rRNA from 1 species
CACGGGGGGAGCAAGCGUUGUUCGGAAUCACUGGGCGUAAAGGGCGUGUAGGCGGUUUGUUAAGUCAUGUGUGAAAUCCCUCGGCUCAACCGGGGAACGACGCAUGAAACUGGCAAGCUAGAGUACCAAAGAGGGGGGUGGAAUUCCCGGUGUAGCGGUGAAAUGCGCAGAUAUCGAGAGGAACACCAGUGGCGAAGGCGGCUCUCUGGGCCUUUCCUGACGCUGAGACGCGAAAGCGUGGGGAGCGAACCGG